rnacentral:rRNA from 1 species
GAUGAACGCUGGCGGCGUGCCUAAUACAUGCAAGUCGAGCGAACAGACGAGGAGCUUGCUCCUCUGACGUUAGCGGCGGACGGGUGAGUAACACGUGGAUAACCUACCUAUAAGACUGGGAUAACUUCGGGAAACCGGAGCUAAUACCGGAUAAUAUAUUGAACCGCAUGGUUCAAUAGUGAAAGACGGUUUUGCUGUCACUUAUAGAUGGAUCCGCGCCGCAUUAGCUAGUUGGUAAGGUAACGGCUUACCAAGGCAACGAUGCGUAGCCGACCUGAGAGGUGGAUCGGCCACACGGGACCUGAGACCCGGUCCAGACUCCUAGGGAGGGCAGCGGUAGGAAAUCUUCCGCAUUGGGCGAAAGCCUGACGGAGCACCGCCGCGUGAGGGAUGAAGGUCUUCGAUUCGAAAACCUUUGUAAUUGGGGAAAACCAAAUGGUAAAGUAACAAUGACCGUCUGGACGGUACCUAUCAGAAAGCCACGGCUAACUACGUG